GAAGUCUGCUUUAUUUUGAAGACGCUGCGAAACAAAAACAUCACAGCGACGGCACAGAAAUACAUUUUAGAGACAGCACAUUAAUACUUCCUGCCAGGGUAUAACUCGUGACCUAUAAUAACAAUGAACAUUCUCAUAAAAAUACAAAAUUGACAUUAAACAACCGUGCUGACCAUCCAGAGUGGGUCUGCUGCAGCGCCAUUCAAGAACACCAUCUCCCAGAAUGCUUUGCGUUGACCUCAGCUUGCGUCAAUAGUGCGACGAAAAUCUAUUGCUAAACAAACCAAACACGGAGUUUUUAACAACAUGGAGCUGGAACAGCCAAAAGAAGACAGUCCUCCAACACCCACACCUCAAUCUCAGUCAAAAAGGCCAAGUCAGGCUCUUUACGCCCCCAAGCAACGAAAUAGUGGCUCCAAAGAUAAAGGUCAGAGUCAGGGAGAAGUCAAACCAAGACCCAGGCCUCGCUACACAGACAAGGCAAGAAAAAACGCCAAGAACAAGAACAACAAGACUGGAGCAGCUGAUAAAGGAGCGCCAGUUGGAGGAGAAGAUGGAGGUGACAGCAAGCCUGCUGUGAAAGAAGAGCAGGAUGCAGAUGUGCAGGUUAAUGGCCACGCUGCAACCAAUGAGGAGAUGCUAGCAGAUACUACCUCAUGUCUGGAAGCAACAUCCCUUCAGGACGAAAAGGGGGAAGAGGACAGUUGGGACACCUUGUUCAAUGAUGAUGGAGAUUGUCUGGAUCCGCACCUGCUUGAAGAGCUGGCUGUGAAUGAAGGUAGAAAGAAGGGAUCAAUCCAACAGCCCAGGUUUGAUUACUACAACAUGGACCAAGAUGAUGAUGACGACGACAUUGACCUCAGUGAGGAUGAACUUUCUCACAUUGUAGAGAUCUACGACUUCCCUGCAGAGUUUAAGACAGAGGACCUUCUCAAGUUAUUUCAGUGUUACCAACAGAGAGGCUUUGACAUCCAGUGGAUUGAUGACUCACAUGCCCUGGGUCUCUUCUCAAGCCCCAUAGCAGCCCGUGAAGCUCUAAGAUCCAAACAUCCCCUGAUGAAGUUGCGACCACUCUCCAAAUCCUCCCCUGCUACAAAGGCCAAAGCCCGUAGCUGCUCAGACUACCUCCUUCCUGCUAAACAGAGACCUCAAACGAGUGCAGCGCUGGCUCGCCAGCUUGUGAUCGGCGCCCUUGGUGUGAAGAGCAACAUCACAAAGGAGCAGCGCGAUGCAGAGAGGAGGAAACUCCAGGAGGCAAGAGCAGGCCUGCUCUCUCCCCUAGUAACCUAUGUUUAAGAAGCAGACAUGGGUCGGAAAUACUGCAGAGUGGCCUGUUGCUACAGUGAAUAAUAUGUAACAAAAGCGCCUGGCAGCCAAACAGAAGGAAGAUGCUUGGGAUGGGAAGUGACUGCACAGAAAGCUACCCCCACCCCACCCACCGGCUUCUCCUGUUUGUUAUUUUAUUUCUUUCAACUGGCCACUCCUUCUUACCACUGUGCUUCCUAAAAAUGGGUUCCCACCAUUUUUUUCUUCUUUCUGCCACAGUCCUCCAGCUACUCUUACUGAACGUCUCAUAAUUCUACUGUCUGUCCAUUUGCGUGCAGUGUUGCAUCAAAUGUGAGCGUCCUGCUACUGUUCCCUUACCUCAGCUCAUACCUUGUCUGUGCAGGGACUGUUGCCUCUGUGUCACGGCCAGGGCUUACACAACCGGCUCACCUUUUUGUAGUGAAGCACUGAGUCUAAUCAUUUUAAAGGGUAACUACGGCUUCAAAAUAAUUAUUUUUUUAAUAGAGGCCACAUGUAUGUCUUUAUAUGGAAUUUAUUUUAUGUUUUUAAAGAUGACACAAGUGGAUGCACCUGUUAAUGUUAGAGCAGCAAAGCUUUCUAUUAAAGGUCCUGUAAUAUUCAGUCAUGCAAUUCAGUAGAUCAUUAUACUAUGAAAACAAUGUUGAGAUUACACUUGAAUUAAAAAUGUUGCAUUUUUUGGACAUUUUGAUGUUCACUUUUUAAUUGUACCCGUGAGCUCUUAUUAGUUCUUAUUAAACAUUUUCUGAAAAGCCUCCAGAGAAGCUGCCGCUGUUCUAGUCUAGUAUUAUGGCUGUUCUGUUUGUUAAAACCUACAGGAGAAUGUAUUGUGUUUUCAACGAGAGGAGCCCUGUUGUACAAGUAGUACUGAUGAUGAUGAUGAUGAUGGUCAUUCUGAAGAGCAAAUGACAGUUCAAAUUAAAGAGAGCAUUUUAUUGUAGGGAGAAAAUGUUGUGAAGACAGUGUCCAUGUUCAAAAACAACCAUGUGUCUGUCUAAUAAUGGAGGCAAAAUUCUGUCCUUUAACAAAGUUACUUUUUUCACAACAUGAUUAACAUCCAUUUUACCUGGUGGUAGUACAUGUGAAAACUUAAAAGUGGCAGAUCACCGGCUUGUAAACUUGAAUGAAACUGUUGAGCAGAUAUUGUAUUUCAGUUGCAUACAUUUUAAUUCAAGCUAAAUUAUUUUCAUGAAAUAAGUUAAAAGUUAAAUGAAGUUUAAAAAUGUAUGAUGGCAUUUAAACUCCAACGCCCGUUUUGAUUUUAAAACUGCUUUAGAUUUAAAAAAAUGUGCGGUGACCAAUCUCAAAAUGCUGUUUUUCUUUAUUCCUGUAAAGUUGAGAUUUUGGACUUGUAAAAAAAGACAAUGUGUUUACUGAAUUAAACAUUUAACUUCAA